rnacentral:rRNA from 1 species
GAUGAACGCUGGCGGUGUGCCUAAUACAUGCAAGUCGAGCGAACAGACGAGGAGCUUACUCCUCUGACGUUAGCGGCGGACGGGUGAGUAACACGUGGAUAACCUACCUAUAAGACUGGGAUAACUUCGGGAAACCGGAGCUAAUACCGGAUAACAUGUUGAACCGCAUGGUUCAACAGUGAAAGACGGUCUUGCUGUCACUUAUAGAUGGAUCCGCGUCGCAUUAGCUAGUUGGUAAGGUAACGGCUUACCAAGGCAACGAUGCGUAGCCGACCUGAGAGGGUGAUCGGCCACACUGGAACUGAGACACGGUCCAGACUCCUACGGGAGGCAGCAGUAGGGAGUCUUCCGCAAUGGGCGAAAGCCUGACGGAGCAAAGCCGCGUGAGUGAAGAAGGUCUUCGGAUCGUAAAACUCUGUUAUUAGGGAAGAACAAAUGUGUAAGUAACUAUGCACGUCUUGACGGUACCUAAUCAGAAAGCCACGGCUAACUACGUG